GUGAAUCAUCAAAUCUUUGAACGCAAAUUGCACUCUCCGGUUUUCCGGGAGAGUAUGCCUGUUUGAGGGUCAGCCUAAAAAAAACGGACUUUGUUGCUGUUUUUUGGUGAUUUUCGUCGGAGUUGGGUUAUUUUAAAUCUGGGUUUAAGGGACUUAAAAAUUUUUUUUACGUUUCUAGGGUGGUUUUAAGGUUUUUUUUGGUAGGUUUAAGGUAUC
rnacentral:misc_RNA from 1 species